rnacentral:tRNA from 1 species
GACAGUAUGACCGAGUGGUUAAGGUGUCAGAUUUUGAUAUUACAUUAUCUGAUGCAGUAUGUGCGCGCAGGUUCAAGCCAUCAUACUGAGC